GUAGUACCUUUUAGAUCCCCAAGUCUCUUCUGGUUUGGUGGGGUACACCCUCUAAGUCUUGGUAUUUCGAAGACUUUUUUUCUGUUUGUCCUGAGGACGAGAGGAAGGACUUGUGUGGCCACAGGGUGAUGUGCUCUGAGACACUCCGUUUGGGAACUGAUGGGGCCUCUGGAAAACGGACCCCAUCCGUGUCUUCAGGAUGAAAGUGGCUUCGUAUGCCUGGGGUCCAUGCUAUUGUUUGUGGUAUCCCUUUCAUAUGCAAGGCUGAAAAUGAGUCAUUUAAAAUCCCACCUGGAACUAUUCAAACAGGUGUCUGUCCAUGCUGAUGAGCUCUCAUUUUCACACUCAGAAAGCCCUCUGGAAUUGGAAUGGAUAGGAUAGUGUUAUUUAACCCAUUCAAAUAUCCAUUAAUUAGCAAGAAUGUCUAUGUGCUUCUACCAUACAUUCUGCUUGUUAAGUAAGCUUGUAUGCAGAUAAUAUUCUCCAGCUAAGUUGACCCUCAAUGAGUGAGAGAUUGGUUAGAAGCUGAAUACCAUAGUAGCAACCCAAAGCAUC
rnacentral:lncRNA from 1 species